GGCAAGUCGAGCGAAUGGAUUAAGAGCUUGCUCUUAUGAAGUUAGCGGCGGACGGGUGAGUAACACGUGGGUAACCUACCCAUAAGACUGGGAUAACUCCGGGAAACCGGGGCUAAUACCGGAUAAUAUUUUGAACUGCAUAGUUCGAAAUUGAAAGGCGGCUUCGGCUGUCACUUAUGGAUGGACCCGCGUCGCAUUAGCUAGUUGGUGAGGUAACGGCUCACCAAGGCGACGAUGCGUAGCGACCUGAGAGGGUGAUCGGCCACACUGGGACUGAGACACGGCCCAGACUCCUACGGGAGGCAGCAGUAGGGAAUCUUCCGCAAUGGACGAAAGUCUGACGGAGCAACGCCGCGUGAGUGAUGAAGGCUUUCGGGUCGUAAAACUCUGUUGUUAGGGAAGAACAAGUGCUAGUUGAAUAAGCUGGCACCUUGACGGUACCUAACCAGAAAGCCACGGCUAACUACGUGCCAGCAGCCGCGGUAAUACGUAGGUGGCAAGCGUUAUCCGGAAUUAUUUGGGCGUAAAGCGCGCGCAGGUGGUUUCUUAAGUCUGAUGUGAAAGCCCACGGCUCAACCGUGGAGGGUCAUUGGAAACUGGGAGACUUGAGUGCAGAAGAGGAAAGUGGAAUUCCAUGUGUAGCGGUGAAAUGCGUAGAGAUAUGGRGGACACCAGU
rnacentral:rRNA from 1 species